UGUAUUUCCACUAAUUGUUUAAUGUAUUGAGUACAUGGUACUCGUGCUUUUGAUACAUGUUGGCGAAAACGCUGUUAUCCAUAUUAUGCGCACCUUAGUGUAUACAUUCAAACAAUGUAAACAUUAUUAAAAUUCAUAGUUUGUGUCAUAGCCACUAUGUUUUGUGCUCGUAUGUUGAAAUAGACAAUGAUAAAUGGAAUAGGUUUACUUUAUGUGAAUUUGCAAUGAGUAUGCCUAGAACAUUGCUAAACGCUUUCGUGUCAAGUGUGUUAUAUGAUGUAAUAUGUAAAAUGUAAUCACUCAAAAGCAAGAAAAGAAUUUUAUUUGCCACGGUAGUCUUUGUAUCAAUUUUUACUUUAUUGAUCGACAUACGGAACGUUCUAAAAUAUUCACUAACUAAAAUGACUCCGUGUGUCGUUGAAAAGAGUCUGUAUUUGUAUUCAAAAAUAAGGCUCAAAAGACAUUAGAAAACUGUCCUAUUUGCACAUAUAAAGUCUAACGUGAACGCUCAAUUAGUAAUCGACAACCUGUAUGGAAAUUCAUUUUGUACAACUUAACUCUUUGAACGUCAUCGAAAGAAUUGCGAGGAAAAUAUUUGAUUAAAUCAACUAUCCUGGAUUAUAUUAUGCAAGUUGCAAAUAUUUGUCUUAUAUAUGAUGAACCGGAAUGUUAGCUGUCUUGUUUGUUAAUU